UUUUAAUGAUGAUUUAAUAUAAAAAAAAGCACAUUUGUUAGAACAGAAUAAAAAGUGUGUUGAAUUUUGUUACUUUCUGAAACU
rnacentral:snoRNA from 1 species